CUGGCCGUUGAUCUAUCCACCGCUUCAUCCUGGCCCUUGAUUACAAAUUAGGUUGAGGUAUAUAAAGCCCUUGAUCAGAUCAAGGACAGAGAUUGAAGCAGAAAACACGAGAGAGAGAGAGAGCUGGGAGCUCUGACCCGGACGCCACCGACCUGAGAAGGAAACCCGGCCGUUGCGCCACCGUCCGGCCACCCCACGACGGUGCACAGGCCCAAUCUCGUUCGUCUCUGCGUCGCCUACAUCCCAGUAGCCUCGAAUUAUCCAUGCACUGAGCUGGGACGGAGAAUCGACGACGAGAAGCCCGAGCUCUUUCCGGUAACUUCUGCAAUUUCCGGUGACUCCGGCCACCGAUUGGCUUAUAUGUGCUUUUCCGGCUAUCCUGGGCUUGGCUUCCACCUCGAUUUCACCUGUAGACGAGGAAUUGAGAAGCUUUCUGGAUUGUAGCCCGAGAACCUGAUGUUCAUCACCAUUCCAGUUUCUACAGUGAGCUCAAGAAGCUGAGUUUGGGUGAUUGAAGUGGAAUUCUGAUUUUCCGAGGUAAAAUCCCGACCUUGACUCAAACUUUGGUACUUGGUGAUAAUCGGAUAUUAAUCCCUGAAAGUUGAGGAUUUGGGUUGGCUGUGUGGUUUGGUUUGCUUGUGCAUAAUGGGUUGUUGUGUUGUUAUGUUUGAUUGUGGCUAUUGUUAGUUACGAGACAAAGGUACAAAAAUUAAAUUAUGAAUGGUUGUGUUGAUGAGAAUUGGAUGAUUGUGAAAGGUUUGGGAGGGAUCAAGUUUAAUUAUGGGUGUCCAGAGUAAAUCAGGUCUACCCAUAUUGAGUCGAAAAUAUAUGUUGGAAAAAUAUUGGGUGUC